rnacentral:ncRNA from 1 species
UAAAAGUUUUAUUCUUGCUUGAAUUUUUAUUUUUUGAGGGUUUAUAUGUAAGUUUUUGUUAAACUAAAUGUUCUUUUGCAGUAAUUUGUUUUGAUUAUUAAGUUAAUUUGGAAUCAGCUAUUAAAUAAAGUAUUGACUAAUUUCGUGCCAGCUGUCGCGGUUAUACGAUUAAAUACAAUUGAAUUUUUUUGGUUUAACAGUUAAAUUAAUUUUGGAUUUUGUUUAAAGGUUUUUAGGUGAAAUUUAAUUCUUUUAUUAAUUCUUUGUUUGAUUCUGUGAAAUUUAAAUUUUAAACUAGGAUUAGAUACCCUAUUAUUUUAAUAUUAAAUUAUUUUCUUGGGUAUUAAUAGUUAUAUUCUUUAAACUCAAAGAAUUUGACGGUAUUUUAAAUCUAUUCAGAGGAACCUGUUCUGUAAUUGAUAGUUCACGAUUAAUGUUACUUAAUUUAUUUGCUUGUAUAUCUCCGUAAUUAGAAUAUCUUUUGAGAGAUGAAAUUUUCGUUUUUUAUAAUUGAUUUUAUUUCAGGUCAAGGUGCAGUUUAUGAUUAAGUAGAAAUGGGUUACAAUAAAAUUAUUUUUAUUACGUCUAUGAUAUUGGAAUUUAUUUUUAAAGGUGGAUUUGAUUGUAAUUUAAUUUAUUUUAAUUAAAUGAUUAUAGCUCUAGGAUGUGUACAUAUCGCCCGUCGCUCUCAUAUAUAAUAUUAUAAUUCUUUUUUAUAUUAAAUGAGAUAAGUCGUAACAUAGUAGAUGUACUGGAAAGUGUAUCUAGAAAGAUUAUUU